CCAAGGUACAUAUGCCAAUAAAAGCAGGGAAAUGGGGAACAAAGGAUGUCAUAGCAACCUCAAGGAGCCCUGUUGUGCUACGGACUGCAGCGCUCAUGGACAUCCAUCAGGAAGCCUCCAAUACCCAAACCAAAGGAAAACAUACCUCAGUUGUGAUUCUAAAUCUGUCUCCUGAGAAAUCUUGGAUGCCUGCUGAUCAUUUUGAAUUCCUUGCCACCCUCAACUUUCUGGCUGCAUUCCCUUUUGGCGAUACGUAGCCAUGCGAGACAACAUAGCCAUGAAACAAACCAAGUCCGCCAGUGGCUUGCUAGGAACACAUUUGCUUUCCUGAUAAAAGAGGACAGAUGCAGUUGCAGAAGUACCAGAACAUCAGAACCAGUGGCCUAGCCAUUGCACAGUCAUCUAAACGCACCUCUGGACUUGCUAUUAUGUAAAAAAAAAUAAACACCUGCUCUUGUUAUUUGCAAUUCAACAUAAUCGUAACUUACAUAAUAUUUAUCAAAUUGAUACAAAUAAGAAAUAAAUUACUUGGGAAUAAAAUUUCCA
rnacentral:lncRNA from 1 species